AAUACUGUUUAGUACCCUGUGGUAUGGGUCCAACAUCAAUUCAGUCCCUCAACUUUCAAUUUCAUCAAAAACACCCCCAAACUAGUAAUUUCUCGUCCAAUAGGUCCCUCCGUCGGGAUUCUGUCAAUUUCCGACGUUAAGCUGCUGACGUGGCAUUUCCAACUCAGCAAGUGGGGCCCACAUGAAAGCCAAUUUCCCAAACUGACCUCGGCUUCCAACACCUCUCCUCCCCCUCCCAAGAUCUCCUCGACCUAAACCCACCUUCUCUUUCUCCCACCACCACCACUACUUUCACAGAGAACCCAACCCAACUCGUGAUCAAGCUAUAUCAAAUCAGAGCCCCAAAUUGCAAGUUUGCACCUCCGACGAAGAACACAACAAACAAAACCAGCCUAACUAAUUUCUCAAUUCCGAGCUCUUCAACUCAGCCUAAUCAACGAUUGAAGCUCGACCCAUCCUCAGUUCGUUAUCUAGGAUGGAAACACUAUCUAGAAUAGACCCAGAAACAUCAGCAUCGACGCCGUGAACCCGAUGAUACACUCAAAAUAUCAAGCCGUUCAAAUCUUGAACAAAAUCAGAAACUAGAUAUACAAAGAAGUAGAACUCCACGAGAUGAUCAUGUUUCGUACCUCAUGCACCUCAAACGAUGGCCGGAAAAAGCUGGAGAACCGCCGAAGCUGUCGAAGCUUGCCGGCGUCGAUUCUCUCUCUCUCUCUCUCUAAUUCUUUCUGGGUUCGGAGCUUUUAGAGUUUUAGAGAAAGACCCAGAUAAAGAUUCGAGAAACGAGAAAUGGAGGACCGAUCAAGAACUGGGUUGCACGAUUUUACUAGGGCUUCAAGAAAGGCUAAAGAAUCAGAUUGGUUGAUUCAUCUUUCAAGUCAUUUUUCGUUUUGAUUUUACAAUAUGUGGGUUUGGUAGUCUAAUAGAAAAGAAACUGGUACGAUUUGUGGUGUGGUCAUAUAUAAUUCUUGUCAAGUAAGAACAAUUGGCUUAAUUGAAUUGAUGAAUUGAUUUUCUUGCAAA